UACAUCUCUUCACCCUGUCACUCCGCAGCCAUCUAUCAUGAUUCGAUUGCUGGUGGACAUGUUGAUUGCAGAGUGGAGACAAAAGCUUGGAAAGCAAAAAAGCCGGGAGAGAAAAAAAAGGGGGGUGACAGAUCUAAUAGAGGGUCCCGAACGGCUUCACUGUCUCUCCGAAGCAAUCGCUCUGUCCGGAUGAAAAGGACAGCGCGGGGUUAACCUCACAAGAUGCUAAUGGCGUGCUGCCUUCUGCGGAGAUCAGUCAUCAAUCUGUAAACGAGCCGCCGUUUCCCGUCAUUAUUCCUGAAAGGCAGCAGUGAUGAACAGGAGGAGGGGGAGGGUGAUUAGGCCUCCCAACCUUUACCCCACAUGUCUUGUCAUCUUGUGUUAACAUCAUGGCUCAUUUCAAGCCUCUUGUUUUCUUCCCAGGGCUCGGCGGAUGCUUGUGUACAGCUCUGUUGGGGUCCCCAGACAUUGCAUCCUGCUUGCAUGAGGGUCAUAAGUGGCCCCACAGGAUAACCUGAACAACGGUGGGAAAGACCGGGAGCGUGGGUCUCCUUUAGCGGCACAGUCUUGACCACCUCUGUGCCAGAAGCAUACAUGCUGCCAAUGAGCACUUUGAACUCCCUUUAUCAACCUGAGAGUGCAUGAUAUCCAAACAUGAGGCCCCUCUUUGACUUCCUGUCUGUGUGGGAACCAUAUCUGUCCCCUGUCACACAUGGAGUGAGAGAAGGCCUCGCUCCUGCAUUUGCCUUAAAAGACAAAGUGAUUGUCAAUAAACAAGGAACAAUUGAAGUCCCCCAUUCAUUCAGCAGGCACUUCUGUCCGCUGCUCCCCUGGGAUGCUCAUGAGUUUUGCAAGCUUCAUUUUCCUCCCAUUUGACAUCAAACUGAGGACGUAAUGACUGAAUAUGCAAGCUGUAUUUAGAUUGCCUAAUUUAGAUGUAUCUUAGUGCAACCUCAGCGAGAUGAGAGCCUCUGUAAUGAGUUCAUUUCCUCCAUAAAACAUAUUUAUUCCUU